CGUGCUUUGGCAGGACAUAAUUAAAUUGAACUGCUACAGCAAAGAUUAGCAUGGCCCCUGUUGCAGUGAUGACAUACAAAUUUGUGAAGCAUUCCACAUUAAA
ensembl:snRNA U6 U6 spliceosomal RNA